rnacentral:rRNA from 1 species
GACGAACGCUGGCGGCGUGCUUAACACAUGCAAGUCGAACGGAAAGGCCCUGCUUUUGUGGGGUGCUCGAGUGGCGAACGGGUGAGUAACACGUGAGUAACCUGCCCUUGACUUUGGGAUAACUUCAGGAAACUGGGGCUAAUACCGGAUAGGAGCUCCUGCUGCAUGGUGGGGGUUGGAAAGUUACGGCGGUUGGGGAUGGACUCGCGGCUUAUCAGCUUGUUGGUGGGGUAGUGGCUUACCAAGGCUUUGACGGGUAGCCGGCCUGAGAGGGGGACCGGCCACAUGGGGACUGAGAUACGGCCCAGUCUCCUACGGGAGGCAGCAGUGGGGAAUAUUGCACAGUGGGCGGAAGCGUGAGGCAGCAGCGCCGCGUGCGGGAUGACGGCCUUCGGGUUGUAAACCGCUUUCGCCUGUGACGAAGCGUGAGUGACGGUAAUGGGUAAAGAAGCACCGGCUAACUACGUG